rnacentral:rRNA from 1 species
GAUGAACGCUGGCGGCGUGCCUAAUACAUGCAAGUCGAGCGAACAGACGAGGAGCUUGCUCCUCUGACGUUAGCGGCGGACGGGUGAGUAACACGUGGAUAACCUACCUAUAAGACUGGGAUAACUUCGGGAAACCGGAGCUAAUACCGGAUAAUAUAUUGAACCGCAUGGUUCAAUAGUGAAAGACGGUUUUGCUGUCACUUAUAGAUGGAUCCGCGCCGCAUUAGCUAGUUGGUAAGGUAACGGCUUACCAAGGCAACGAUGCGUAGCCGACCUGAGAGGAGGGUCGGCAACACUGGGACAGAGACACGGUCCAGACACCUACGGGAGGCAGCAGUAGGGAAUCUUCCGGAAUGUGCGAAAGCCUGACGGAGCAACGCCGAGUGAGUGAUGAAGGUCUUCGGAUCGUAAAACUCUGUUAUUAGGGAAGAACAAAUGUGUAAGGAACUAUGCACGUCUUGACGGUACCUAAUCAGAAAGCCACGGCUAACUACGUG